UACGUAGGGGGGCUAGCGUUGUCCGGAAUCAUUGGGCGUAAAGGGUGCGUAGGCGGCGCGGUAAGUCGGGUGUGAAAUCUCGGAGCUUAACUCCGAAACUGCAUUCGAUACUGCCGUGCUUGAGGACUGGAGAGGAGACUGGAAUUUACGGUGUAGCGGUGAAAUGCGUAGAUAUCGUAAGGAAGACCAGUGGCGAAGGCGGGUCUCUGGACAGUUCCUGACGCUGAGGCACGAAGGUCAGGGGGAGCAAACGGG
rnacentral:rRNA from 1 species